AGCAUACCCAGCUCCAGGCAGCCAUGGACUGUAGAGUUGAGGACUGUAUUGUGUUUGUAGGAAAGAAUUGUGCAGAUAUGUGAAUAUCUUCUGCUCUGCAGAAGCAUGCACAGGGGCUUUGUCUUUGAAGAGUGAAGGAGAUCAAAACCACCCUCAGAGGAUGUGCUGCCAUCAGACCAGCAGGCUUGCAGCUGUGGCUCAUUGGCAGCUGGCAGAGCUCUCAUCAGUGAUUUGAGCACUGGAAUACCUUCCCUGCAUGUCCUUCUAUUGCAAAACCAGGUAAGUAACAUAUUAGUUGGCAAACUACACGUGAGCUCUUGCCCAUAGUGAAUUUGGAGCA
rnacentral:lncRNA from 1 species